AAAAUCUCCCCAGAUGCUCACUGCUCUGAUCAUUUCCCCUACAGCACCAGACAUGUUGGCAUCAUCUCUUAGUUGGGCCAUGUGGCCAGGGAACCCUUCAUGAAACCACCUCUGCAGUCCUGGAGAGUUGCUGUAGAAGAAGGAAAAGAGAGGAAGACAACACAACACAGGAGGGGAUAAGUACCUCUGGACACAAUGGAAGUAGUAGUUGUUGAGCAGAGGGAAAGGGAUAGGAGAAGGAUGUGGACUGCAGUGCUGCAGUGCCAGAGCCCCAGCAGCUACUAUUAAUGAGUGUCUGGAAUAUGUUCCUGGCAUUUCACCUACCCUCUCUCCAAUCCUUCCAAGAAACUCACAAAGCAGGGCUUUUUCUUGAACUUCUCUUCCUCACAACAGUUAAAUCAUCCAUUUAAAGAUGUCAAACAACCUCCGUGUUCUAAGAACUAUUUACUGAGCUCUACGGAGACACAGCUACAAGCACCACAUGCUGGACCCCUGAAUAUGGAGGGCCAACUACACUAGAAACACACACGCUAGCUGAGAAAGAUGGUGGCUUAAGGAGAUCACCAGUUUGUAGUAGAGGCCCACUCUCGGAAGGUUUGGUAAAAAGUUGUUUUGAAUCAUAAUGUUGGCUUUAUUGGCAUGUUGAAACCAUUUACCUCUGUAAUUUUCCAUUUGUUUUCCUUUCCAACUACCACUCCUCCUGCCUGAUAAAUAAAUACCAUUGCAAGAUUA
rnacentral:lncRNA from 1 species